CCUACGGGGGGCAGCAGUGGGGAAUAUUGGGCAAUGGGCGCAAGCCUGACCCAGCAAUGCCGCGUGAAGGAAGAAGGCUUUCGGGUUGUAAACUUCUUUGACAGGGGAAGAGCAGAAGACGGUACCCUGAAAACAAGCCACGGCUAACUAAGUGCCAGGAGCCGCGGUAAUACGUAGGUGGCACGCGUUGUCCGGAUUUACUGGGUGUAAAGGGCGUGUAGCCGGGAAGGCAGGUCAGAUGUGAAAUCUGGAGGGUCAAACUCCAAAUUGCAUUUGAAACUGGUUUUCUUGAGUACUGGAGAGGCAGACGGAAUUCCUGGUGUAGCGGUGAAAUGCGGAGAUAUAAGGAGGAACACCAGUGGCGAAGGCGGUCUGCUGGACAGCAACUGACGGUGAGGCGCGAAAGCGUGGGGAGCAAACAGGAUUAGAUACCCGGGUAGUC
rnacentral:rRNA from 1 species